rnacentral:lncRNA from 1 species
CUGUUCCUGCUGUUUGCCAUUGAAACACUGGUCCAGUAUUACAAGCAUCGUCCAGUGAAGGGUACCGAACAAUUUCCCGUCGCCAUGAUUGAUUAUUAUUAUCAUCUACUUCCACUUUGGGGUAAACGAUUUUGUCAGAGGAACAUUGGGUGCUUUUUUCAGGAGAAGACGAUUGGAUUAGACGUGGAGAAUCAUCGUAAUUUCCAUUUGUUUUCACCUUCCCUUUCAACUUAUACGAAAAAUUAAGCACCCCAUUAGGCUUCCCAUCACUGUCACGAACCUGGUAACUGACGAACCUCACAACCCCACAAAAAUCAUCUAUCAAAGCCUUCAAAGGAACACGCACCUCGCCGAUUGUUCUAUUGACCAAGCCAUCCGCACGCAAAUCGAACUUGAGGAAAAGAUGA